rnacentral:lncRNA from 10 species
GAGAGAGAGAGAGAAGAAAGACAGUGUUUAUAAAGCCUGCCUUCCUGGUCUACCCCACUGGGGCUGGAUAGUUCGAUUUCCACAGCUCCAAGGUACAAGGUGCAAGAGUUAAGGUGGUUGAUUGGUCCCCAGCCUCAGCGACAAGAAGUGAGCAGAGGGGAUGCUCUGUGAUGUUGCUUGUUCAACCUGAUUCCCUCCACCCUCCCAGAGGCAGGGGAACCCCCGUCCCCCGCCAACCCACAGUGAUAACAUCUCUCAGGCUUCCUCCUUUGUUGGGUACAGAGGAGGUAGCCACACACAAAAAAAGGGGUGGUGGGUAGGUAGGGAAGGGGGAACUAUAAAUAAUCCAAAGAGGUGGCUAGAAAGGCAGAGAGGACAUGAUGCGAGAGAGAAAGUUUAUGCUUUCAUAUAAAAGGCAUGAGCCACUUGACUUAGGGUAAUCUGAAGGAUCUUUCGUUUGUUUGAUUGAUUUUCCUUUUUGAUUAUUCUCUGAAAUCUGAAGUCUAGGGUUGCCUAAAAGAUGGUGAGUUCUUCUUAUCUCCAAUUUUUCCUGAGGUAGGAAGAACACCAUGGAAUAAGGAGAAAGGAGAUACAAGUAGCCUCUCCAGGAAGAAUGUGACUGAAUACUUUUUAUACAAAACCACAAAAUUAGAUAAAUAUGUAUUUAAGUGUUAUUCCUGAAAGCUGGAGAAAGAAAUCUUACUUCUAAGAAUUGUUUAGCGAAGGAAUAAGAAAAUGUGAUGCUUGGAAGAAAAAACACACUGCCGAGAGGCCUUGCGCUGAGUGUGCUGAACAAUAGACAACCUCUAAGGAUGCUCGCCUGCAAUUCCGGCUCUGCCAUCAAUUCACUGUAUGCCUUUGGGUAAGUCACUUAACCUUUCUGAGUCUCAGUUUCCCCAUGGGCAAAAUGGUGGUUAUUAUAAUAACCCUCUUACCUGUAUUUUGCAAAGAACAAUGAUUACAAAUGAAUGCAAAUCAUCUUGUGUGUGUUAAGAAUGACAUACAAGUGCUAAGAAAUAGCAUAAGCUUGUAGUUCACAAUACACUUUUCAAGAAACAACAGGCAGAUGUUGCAAGCAUAGAAUGAUAACAAGAAUUAGGGACCACCAAGCCAAUUACAACCAAGGGAAUCCUUUAGAAAAAAUUCUUGAGUCACUGGACCAAAAUGGCCAAGUGGGAAGGGAGAAUUAACUCUCAUUUUUUAAUUUAAAUUAUUAUCAGAAAUAAUGUUGGGGUAACAAACCAUAACAUAUACUUAGUUUGAGUUAGUCUAAAAUUCUUCUAGAAAUAUUGAUUGAGCGUUACAUGUUUUCUAUGUGGAAAGCAAAUACACAACUAAGAGAAGGUAUUUCAUGUAAAAAAAAAAAACAGGAUGUCUUGUUUAGGAUUUAUAAUGCGUAUCUUGUUCUGUAAUGCAGGAAGAUUUCACAGGUAGCUUUUUAAAAGAAUGAAAGAACAUGUAAUGAUUAACUAAAAGUAUUCAGUAAUGCUUUACUUUAGUUUGGACCUAAGUGGAACAUUCUUUAUUUGUACUGUAUUUUUUAAUAAAAUUGAAUACUUGACAUGCAAUAACCUAUGCUUUUGCAUCCACAUUUACUUCUGAAGAAUCAAAAUUUUCAGGUUUAAAAACAAGUUAUAUCUAAAAGCACACUUAAAGUCGUAUACAGUCAUAUAUUCUCUUUAAUUGAAUCUCAAAGAUGAAAAAAUGACAAAUGAAGAGCAUAUAAUAUGACAGCAAAAGUUUAAUAACCUACACACAGACAGAAUUAUUACAAAUCAAUAAGACAAACAAGUCAGUAGGAAAAGACAGUUGGAAUGAACAAGCAAUUAGAAAAAAUAAUAAAUACAAUGUCUAACUCACAUGAAAAAGUAUUUAAUCUAAAUAAUAAACUAACAUAAAUACUCUGUGCUAUACAUCAGGUAGUAGAUGAAUGAAUACAUUGAUACUUUCUGAAGAAACAACCAGAAGUAACUAUCAUACACUAUAAAAAGUGCUGUGCCUUUAUCUCAACCACUUCAUUUCUUGGAAUUUGUGGUUAAAAAAAAAUCAUCAUUAUUAUUAUUAUUGUACCCUAAGAUUUAACUAUGGGGAUAAAUAUUACAGCAUCAUUAAAUUGAGUAAAUGGGAACAAUUCUAAGUGUGCGACACUGGAGCAGUUGGUUAAAUACACUAUGAUAUGUGUAUACCAUGCAAUAUUAUAAAGCUGAUAGAAAAGACGCUGUGAUGGAGAGGAAUGAAAUGUCAGGCAGGAUAGGGUAGAGUAUGCUGUAACAUAACAAAAACACAAAAAUGUUAGAGGCUUAUAACAACCAAGGUUUAGUGCUCAUCAUAUUCCAGGUCCCUCUUGGCAGCAGGGAGCUCUGCUCCGCAUCCCCUCACUGUGUGACCCAAGAAUACAACAGCCACCAUCUCAAACAAGGCUGCACUGCAGCAGAGUCAAAGAGCGCUCCAAGCUGGCCUCCCCAACCAAGUAGCCACUUGGCGCAUGUUGCUAUUGAGUACUUGGAAUGGGGCUUGGGUGAAUUGAGAUUGCUGUAAGUGCUAAAUACAUAUCUCAUUGCCAAGACUUUGUCCAAAUAACAAUAGUAAUUAUAAAAGGAUAUAAAAUAACCUCAAUAAUUUUAUAUUGAUUUCAUGUUGAAAUUGUAUUUUAAAUAUCUUAUGUUAAAGAAGAUACAUUGUUAAAAUUAAUUUCACCUGUUUCUUUUACAUUUUUAAUGUGUUACUAGAAACUUGAAAAUUACACAUCUGACUUAAGUCUGUGGGAGCCACAGUGCUCUAGAGGGUCUUGCACUGGCAAUUGAAUGCUGCACCUCAUUGGCUAGAAUCAGUCACAUGACCACACCCAAUCUCAGGAAGGCCAGAAAAUGCAAUCCCACAAUGCAGCUGGAAGACAGCUAACUGGAAAUCAAUGCUGAGAAGUCCUAAGAAAUGCCACAGGAAGAGAAAGAGGCAGGGGGCCGGCAGAGGCCAGAACAAAUUUUGGAAAGUAUAUUUAAGAUCAUCUGGGUUAAAUACGUGUUACCCGACAUCCAAAAAUUACUUGGAAAGCCCUUGAGAAUACCUCCAGGAUCUAAGCAGUCAACCUCUAAAGCAACCAUUAAUAAAAUGGAGUCAUGAGACUGCCCUAUAACAGCUUGUGGAGAAAGAAAUGUCUCGCAUAUCACAAUAGUGUGGACAAAGAAGAUCAGCAACAAUUUGGGCAAAAUACAUACACACACGCACAUACACACACACACACACACACAAAGACAGACAUUCGCUAACUUUGGUUUGCUAUUGAGCUGCUUCUUAUCUGGGCAAUUCUACAUAGUACACUCUAGGAUACCAAGCAACUAUUUGGGCAAAAUACACACAUACACAUACAAAUACACACAUACACAUACAAACACACACACACACAUACACAGGCAGACAUUCGCACACUUUGAUUUGCUAUUGAGCUGCUUCUUAUCUGGGCUACUCUGUGUAGUACACUCCGUGGUGAGAAGCAACAGGGAUUUAUUGAUUGAUCAGUCAAUGAGUAUUGUUCUCCUGAGAAAAGCUGAGAGGUCGGCAAGUGCACGCAAAUGUGCAGGUAUGUCCGUAAGUAUUGAAAACCCUGAAAUACACACUCCAAAAACUACACCAUCAUUGUCACUGGAUACCGGAAUCCCAUGUGAUUUUAAAUUCUUUUUCCUUAUCUUUAUUUUCAGAUCAUCUACAAGACAUGAAUGAUGUUCAGAAUUACUUGUCAUGCCCUUUGCUUGGGGCUGAAAACAAGAUGCAGUCACACAGAUUUCAAUGGAGUGUGUACUCUAGAGGCAGACUGCCUGGGAUCAAAAUGCUUGCAGUAUAACCAUUGACAGCUUCCAUAACUUAUCUCUUCCCAGGUUAAUCAACCUGUAAAAUGGGGUAAUAUCUGCUCCUCCCUCAUAGGGUUGUGCAUAAAAAUCUCAUGAGAUUAUAGGUGUAGAGAGUAUGCAACUAAGACAUGCCUGAGUGAAGUUUCCUAGGAGCCAGAUAAUUAAUCCAACAUUUAUCUGAAAUGCUGAACUAACUUGCAUAAUUCUUCAAAUGAAUAUCACACCUUCGAUGGGGACAUACAAAUUGUUUCAACCUGAGGCUUGAAAAUAUGUGUCAUAAAGCAUUCUGAUUUAUCAAGAACACGUUGUAAUUUGUUGCAUUUGGAAUGUAGCUACCUAACUUCCUGAAUAUUUUAAUAAAAUACCUGUAAAAUUACACAAUCAAAACUAUACCUCCACCAAGCAAAGUGACAGAGAUGGUACUAACAUCAACAAAAAGGUAAGAGAAUGGUAAAUUUCAAAAGGUUCUAGCUGUUUCCGUACUCUCUGUACUCUUACCGUGAAAUCAAGCGCUGAAAAAGAUUCUAGGCUUAAAAUUCAAUUAAAGCAAACACUUUUGACAAUUAUUUUACUAUUUGAUGUAAAAAAAUAGAUUUUUUUGUCUAGUGCUUUAGUUCUUUGCCUCUUUUUAAUUUUUUCUUAUGUAUGGUUUUAUUUUAAAGUUCCACUGAGGCAAUAUACAUAUGCCAGGCAGAAAAUGCAGAUAUUAAGGGAUUUUAUUCAUAACAGGCUAAAUUUGUCUCUUGUGAAAGAUAAAAACACUUUAAAGUUGAUGAGUCUAUGAUUUUAAGUAAAAUCCUCAUUCAAAUGUGAUUGCUUUAUAGGUUUAACUCUGGUCAGAGCAAUUUGUGUUCUUUCUAUAUAUUACUCCAACUAUAAUAAAGCUGUUUAUGCAAAUGUGAAAUUGUUGCUAUUGCAGAAUCUUUCCAACCAUGUAAGGUUGUAAUGUUAAAUUCCCAUUCACGAUCAAAAUUCCACAUAUUUACAACCUGCAAACAUCCCAAAUUCACACUUCAACAUCUGUGUGGCUGCCAACUUCUACUGAAAUCUGUAGCAUGCUUUUUUAGAAGUGGAGGAAAAAAGAAUAAAAAACCUGAGACUAAGAUAAGAAUCAAGAAGGAUUCAUGUGCCAAAAGCACACAUUCAAGCCUGGGAGAGGAAAUCAGAGUCCUAAGCCCCAACUUGGAAUGACUUACUAGAUGAUUGUAGUGACAGAGCCAUCUCCACACCGGGCUCUCAUCUGAGUCAGUGAUAUACUCUGUGCUAACAGAGACGAUUAUCCCAAGCAGCCAGUGAAUCAAAGCACAGUCUAAACCAAAAUCAAAGACUGUGUCUGGCAAAGCAUCACAACUUCCAGAGGAUUUGCUGAACAAAGCUACCAAAAACUUUAAAAACUGCAGUCUUAAUCUAGUCACCCCUUACACCUAAAUGAUGACAGUGUGAUAUGAAAACACCAGUUAUUAUGCUUUACAAGUCAGCAUGCUCAUCAGCAAAGGAUCUAAGUUAAAAUUAAUCCCUGUCGAUAUAGAAGACAAUAUCAAACUGGAGCCUUUUUUUAAGAAAAAAAAAAAGAAAUAUGUAGACUGAACAAACUCAAACUUCUAACCAAAAACAAAGUGAUAAACCAGUUAAUCAAGCUAUGAGGAGAACCAGUUAAAUCUGAUAUGAAACCACCAUUUUACUAGAGCAAACUGUUACUAAGCUCUGUUUACAUCAGCUCUGCCUUUUUCUCUUUCUCGGUAGUUCAGCUAUGGAUUGUCUUGUGGACUCUCACCAUCCGGAAUGAUUUGCUUUCUAUUCCAGUCUAUUCUCAGCUGUCUGGCCCUGCACAAGUGCUCGCAGAACUCACUAAUACCGACCACCUCCCUACCCCCCUCACCCCAUCUGCUUUUUACUCUGAGCAUGCAGGGCUCUAAUCAGUUCUCCAUAGCGCAGAGACUACUUCUUGUUUUUACAGACAAACAUGUUAAUUGCCAUCACACUCACAGGCAGAAUGAAGGACUGUCUUUUUACCCUCCUCAGUCCACCCGCCUGGAUGCAACACAAACUACAAUCUCCAUCUCACCCAAGGACAAGCCCCCUCUUCUCUAAACAGCACACAUUCUUUCAAACAAAAAAUCCCCACAGCUUAAACAUGCACAUACACAAUUAACAUACAUACAUAGGAAGCGCAUCAUUGCAAUGAUGGAUAUAACUUAUUACAUUGACCUUACUAGCUAAAGAGUAAGUGGUAAAAGGGAUUCAAAAAUAUGAGUUAGAGCAUCAGGGUAAGUCCAGCACUUCAGAUGGGGGUCAGCAUUCCUGAACUCUGUUUUCUCAUCUGAUCCUAUAACCAACCUUUUUCUCUGCCACUGACUGUUGGGAAGCAGUGCAUUUUAAACAAAAAAGGCCUCCCUUUGAUACCUCUUUAAAUGUCAAGAGUAAGCCCUUAUAAGAACCCAGUAGUCGGUACCCAGAGUUGGUGCCCAAACAUGAAAGAGAUUAGAAGAAGGUCUUGGUGUGGAAAAAGCCGUGGACCCCUUUCACUUCCAGGUGACACACUGUCAUCACCCACAUUACAGGAAAGGUGAGGCUGCUAAACGAUUACUGGGUGGCGGAGGACUCCAGAUUAGCUUAAAUAAAUGGCAUUAUUUUUAUAAAUAUUUUCAAGGAAGUAUAAUAUUUGUCUAUAAAAAGAUGGUUGAGAGCUGCAUUUCACCUUUCAUGUUUGUAUCUUGAAGUUUCAAGUUCAUUUCCGUACUCUGGGGUAGCUGCCCAAGGGAAAUCUGCUCUUCAGGUUUACUCUCCUAACAUCGCCCACAAAUCACUCAUGCAACCAAAACCUGCCAAUGAAAAGCGCGUAAGGUCUCCUUCAUCUAAGAAACCAGCAGUUUCCAAAACAAGCUCUUGUACAUUAUCCACCAGUGGCCAAGGUCUGGUGAAACACAAACUCUCUCCCAUAUUGAAGCAGAGAAUAUAAAUGAGGGCAAACUUUCUGGAGAGCAGAUUGACCACAUAGAUCAAGAUUCUUACAAAUGUUCUUAUCCUUUGACCUAAUAAUUACAGUUCUUGGAAUUUAUCCCAAGGAAAUUAUCAGAGAAGCAAACAAAGAAUUAUGUACAAGGAUGUUCAUUGCAAUGCUAUUUAUAAUAGCAAAAAAUUGCCACUGCCUAAUUAAGCAACAAUAGGAAUUUAGUUAAGUAAAUUAUAGUAAAUCCAUAGAACAGAAUGCUAUUCAGGCAUUAAAAACCAUGUGUUCAAAGAAUGCAAAAUGGCUCAGGGAAAUGCUGACAAGAUAAUGUUAAGUUAAAAAAGUAGGCUACAGUAUGUUAAAUGCAACGUGACCCCAGUUUUAUAAAUAUUACAUAUGCAUAUGACAUGUAAUAUGUGUAUAUAAAAUUUGGAAGAAAGAAAAACUACAUUGAAGUUUACUAAGUGCCAAGGAAUGCAAUAAAACCUUUACAUAAUUAUUUUAUUCACUCAUCAAAAUAAUUCACAGAAUGAACUAUUUUGAUCUCUAUUUUGACAGUGAGAAAACGAGAGCAAAGAGAGAUUAAGUUGUCAAAGAUCACUCAGGUAAUACAUUGGGUAGCUAGUGUUUGAUCCUAGAUGAUCUAUGUCCUACAUAACACUAUCCAUUGUGUUGUUCUAUGGGUUAUUUUCUCCCUUGCGUUAUUUGUGUAUUUUUCCAAUUUUUUUCAAUAAACAUAUUACUUUUAUAACCAGUUUUUAAAAGGUUCUUAAUAGUGUGCAAAGUGAGAGUGAUUAGCAUAAGUACUGAAAUUAAAUUCAUAUUCUUACUGAAAUGAACAGGGUAUUUUUGAUUUGUUAAAAGCAGAAUACAGUUUUGUUUUUUUUUAACUCUAUUCAUUAAUUAUUUAGAUUCUGAAAAUGUACCACUUGCUUUGCCUUUUAUAAGUUUUGGCACUUUUAUGCUUAAUAUGGCAUUUUGUGAAGCAGAAGGGGAGAACUGAAGUGGGGAUUUCUUAAAAGAUAAGUAAAAAUACAGACAGGGAUUUUCUAGGUGUCUUCAAUCUUCCUAAUAGAAGGUAAGGUAAACUUCUAGGAGUGAGUCGAGCAGGGGUGGAAAUUAAAAUUACGGAG